UGGGGAAUUUUGGACAAUGGGCGAAAGCCUGAUCCAGCAAUGCCGCGUGUGUGAAGAAGGCCUUCGGGUUGUAAAGCACUUUUGUCCGGAAAGAAAUCCUUGGCUCUAAUACAGUCGGGGGAUGACGGUACCGGAAGAAUAAGCACCGGCUAACUACGUGCCAGCAGCCGCGGUAAUACGUAGGGUGCAAGCGUUAAUCGGAAUUACUGGGCGUAAAGCGUGCGCAGGCGGUUUGCUAAGACCGAUGUGAAAUCCCCGGGCUCAACCUGGGAACUGCAUUGGUGACUGGCAGGCUAGAGUAUGGCAGAGGGGGGUAGAAUUCCACGUGUAGCAGUGAAAUGCGUAGAGAUGUGGAGGAAUACCGAUGGCGAAGGCAGCCCCCUGGGCCAAUACUGACGCUCAUGCACGAAAGCGUGGGGAGCAAACAGGAUUAGAUACCCUGGUAGUCCACGCCCUAAACGAUGUCAACUAGUUGUUGGGGAUUCAUUUCCUUAGUAACGUAGCUAACGCGUGAAGUUGACCGCCUGGGGAGUACGGCCGCAAGAUUAAAACUUAAAUGAAUUGACGGGGUCAUAGCUGUUUCCU
rnacentral:rRNA from 1 species